ensembl:ncRNA T10H4.18 ncRNA
AGCAGAGGUUUUCAGUAUCGUGAAGAUGGCAAAACUGGUGAUCGAUAGAUGAAUGUUCUGAAUUUAAUGAAGUUAAUUUGAAAUAUAAUAAAA